rnacentral:rRNA from 1 species
UAUGGAAAAGCCAACCAUAGAAGGUGAUAGUCCUGUACGCGAAAUCGUCGAAACUCUCGCUGGACACCUGAGUACAACCGGGCACGCUAAUCCGGUUGGAAUCUGGGGAGUCCACUCUCCAAGGCUAAAUACGUUUGACGACCGAUAGUGAACAAGUACCGUGAGGGAAAGGUGAAAAGUACCCCUGUUAGGGGAGUGAAAAGAACCUGAAACCGUAAGCUUACAAACAGUCGAAGGGCUAAUGGCGUGUUCGUGCUAUAGCGAAAGCUUGUGCGCAGCGCUAUGCCUGACGGCGUGCCUUUUGGAGAAUGAGUCUGCGAGUUAAUCUUUGUGGCAAGGUUAAGGAAGUUACAUCCGAAGCCGCAGCGAAAGCGAGUCUGAAUAGGGCGUGCAGUCGCAAGGAUUAGACACGAAACCAGGUGAGCUAACCAUGGNNNNNNNNNNNNNNNNNNNNNNNNNNNNNNNCUGUGGUUAGGGGUGAUAUGCCAAACGAACUUGGAGAUAGCUUGUUCUCCCCGAAAUAGCUUUAGGGCUAGCGUUAAGCGUUUAGUAACGGAGGUAGAGCACUGAAUGGGUAAGGGGGCUUAUUGCUUACCGAACCUAAUCAAACUCCGAAUGCCGUUACUCCAAGCUUAGCAGUCGGACUCCGGGGGAUGAGCUUCGGGGUCGAGAGGGAAAGAGCCCAGAUCAACAGCUAAGGUCCCCAAAUUUGUACUAAGUGGGAAACGAGGUGAGGUUACUGAAACAACCAGGAGGUUGGCUUAGAAGCAGCCACCCUUUAAAAAGUGCGUAAUAGCUUACUGGUCGAGUGAUCUUGCGCGGAAAAUUCAACGGGGCUAAGUACAAUACCGAAGCUUUGGAGCCACACUAGGUGUGGUUGGUAGGGGAGCGUUCUGCCAGCNNGGAGGUAGAGCACUGAAUGGGCUAGGGGGCUUAUAGCUUACCAAACCUAAUCAAACUCCGAAUGCCGUUACUCCAAGCUUAGCAGUCGGACUCCGGGAGAUGAGUUUCGGGGUCGAGAGGGAAACAGCCCAGAUCAACAGCUAAGGUCCCCAAAUUUGUACUAAGUGGGAAACGAUGUGAAGUUACUGAAACAACCAGGAGGUUUGCCUAGAAGCAGCCACCCUUUAAAAAGUGCGUAACAGCUUACUGGUCGAGUGAUUUUGCGCGGAAAAUUCAACGGGGCUAAGUACAAUACCGAAGCUUUGAACUUCCGCCUUCGGGCGGGAUUGGUAGGGGAGCGUUCUGCCAGCGGUGAAGGUCGAUCGAAAGGACGGCUGGAGCGGGCAGAAGUGAGAAUGCAGACAUGAGUAGCGUAAAACACGUGAGAACCGUGUUCGCCGUAUAUCUAAGGUUUCCGACGCCAGGUCAAUCCGCGUCGGGUUAGUCAGGACCUUAGCCGAGGCCGAGAGGCGUAGGCGAUGGACAGCCGGUCAACAUUCCGGCACCACUUAAGUAGAGUGAUGGAGGGACGCAACGAGGUAGGCCAGCCCACGAUUGGUUGUGUGGGUGAAUUGCAUGUCAGCCGUUGAGAUCUAUAGGAAAAUCCGUAGAUCGAGGUGAGAUGCCGUUACGAGCCUAUAAGGCGUAAGUGAGUUGAGCCUUGUUGCCGAGAAAAGCUUCUAAACGAUGAAACUUGAGUGCCUGUACCGCAAACCGACACUGGUAGAUGGGUAGAGUAUACCAAGGCGAACGGGAGAACCCUUGUUAAGGAACUAGGCAAUUUGACCUCGUAACUUCGGGAUAAGAGGUGCCCCUUGACGUGAAUGAAUAAUGAGCGUCGGGGGGUCGCAGUGAAAUGGUUCUAGGGACUGGUUACCAAAACCACAGGUCUCUGCAAAGUCGUAAGACGAUGUAUAGGGGCUGACACCUGCCCAGUGCCGGAAGGUUAAAGGGAGGGGUUAGGCGCAAGCCGAAGCUCUGAACUGAAGCCCCGGUGAACGGCGGCCGUAACUAUAACGGUCCUAAGGUAGCGAAAUUCCUUGUCGGGUAAGUUCCGACCCGCGCGAAUGGUGUAACGAUUUGGGCGCUGUCUCAACAAGGGACCCGG